UUACCCUUUUUAGGAUCUGAUGGUUAAAGAAUUAUCACACCAUUGUUCAAAGCCUCACACUAGUUGAUACUUCUUGAGUUCUUUAUCUUUUUAAGCAUUUGAUGAUUCUCUUUUAAUGGUAAUUGGAGACUAUGCCAUAUCGUGUGUGAUCUGUUGGUUGUCCUUUGAUGAUUUGUAGAUAAUACUUGAAAAAUACAAAUAUGCAGAUACGGCUAUAAAAGUUGAGAAUCCCCCUCGCUAAAGUUGAUUUUAUGGACUGGACAUUCCCGGAUUAUAAUUAGAAAAUGGUAAUGCAAUCGUGGACAACAAACAAUUUGCUCUAUUAAGGGUACUGUUUGACUCUCCGACAUAUAUGAUGAAUUACGAAGAAUCUCUAUUUUACUUUGUAGGUGAAUAAGGUUCUUAAAUUGCAAUAAUUGAUACUAAAUUAGCAGAUUAUAUGCAUUCUUCACAAAAUGUGAACUCAUCGUAGGAUCUUGCAAUUUUUGCAGUGGUCUAAACGUUGAAAUUUUAUUUUUAGAAUUCGUUGAUCUUUGUUUUGAUGUUAUCAAUCAUUUAACACCUUGUGUUAAGGAGUCCUGCUUUGGGGAUUCAUUGACGUUCUUCAGGAAGGAAUGAUGACGGAAAGUGGAACGGGAAAGCAAGCUUCUUUCGCCCUUGACAUAGUACUACAAAAAAAAGAUUCCUAAAGAAGAAAACAUAUAUGCAGUGAAUGGAGCAUAUCCCAACAAUAUCCAUAGAUUAAAUUGACCAAGCAAAGUCACUGGAACCCUAAGCUUUACUGGCGAGCCAUUUCAACAAGCAGGAAUCCUUCUGCCCGACGUUUGUUCCCAAUCAGCAAAGCCUUGGACUACAGCUUGCCCAACUAGGCCAAGAUGCUUCUGCUGCAGUGAGUUAAAUGGUCCUUUACUGCCAAAUUUGACAGGGUAAAAUGGUACUAUUUCUUGAAGAGUUUGUAGUAGCAGGGGGUAUCAUUGAAGUUCAUUCCUUCGGAAGGUUUUUUUCUGAUUCAGCUGCUGCCUAAUCCACGAACAUGCUCAUGAACCGAGAGUCGUCUAGGGACUGACGGAGGGAGCUUGCUUAUAUAU